UGCCCACAUCACGUUGAAACACCGGUGCCUGUACGAUCACCGAAGUUAAGCAACGUCUAGCCUGGUCAUUACUUAUAUGGUUGACCGCUUGGGAAUACCAAGUGCUG